rnacentral:lncRNA from 1 species
AUGUGGUGUUUGGGCCUCUGGCUCCAGCGGCUACUGGAGAGUAAGAAAGUCUCUUUUCCGUCUUCUUUUCUUCUCUUCCUCCCCUCCCCCCCCCCCCCUUCCUCGAAUCUCUGCAGUCUCAGUACUGAAGUCCCGAGUAAGAAAGUCUCGUUUCCGUCUUCUUUUCCUUCUCUUCCCCCCCCCCCCCUUCCUCCCUCGAAUCUCUGCAGUCUCAGUACUGAAGUCCCGGGUGGCUAUCGGCACCGAACUGGUCCCAUUUUGAGUAGCUCGCGUGGUGGUUUUGUGGUUGGGUUUGGGUUUGGGUACACGGAGGCCUGUGGGGAGAGCUGCAGGUGGGUGUGGGUGCAGGGAUUCUGAAGGGAGGAGCCCACGGGCCCUCCAUCUCCCUCCCAGUUCCCUGGGGAGCCACUUGGUGGUCGGGGUUCAGUCUGCGCUGUGCGGUGUGAAGAGAAAACAACAGACAGUGUCUUCCAGGGGGUGGUUCACAGCUGGCUGGAAAAAACACCUUGGGAGUCAGAAAACCGACCUGGGGCCGCCCCUGGCCUCUCGCUGUUACGGCUCUGUUUCUUCAGCCCCCGGUGACAGUCUGUGUAGACACAGUUCUUCCUUCCUUUGUGAAACCCCUGGGUUCAGUAGUAGCUGAGAUGCGCAGGGGAGGCCCGUGGUGGCUUUGGUGAGCAGAUGACUCUGAUGGGCUUUGCCUGUGACCGCAAGGAGCGCCUUCCCGGCCUCGAGCCCGCUCUCCUCCAGACAGUCUGCAGAGGGAGGCCUGCUUACACCCCCCACGUUGUCCGUGAGGAAUCAGAGGCUCAGAGAGGUGACAGACUUAGACAAAGUUGCACAGCACUGAGCGCAGGACCAGGAGGCAUCCGGGUCCCAUCUAUCCCAAGCCCCUGGGUGUCCGUUCUCUUGGGCGCCUCGUAGCUAACCAUGAACUCAGUGAAGUGUUGGUGUUGAUGGAG